CAAACAUCAAAAUAGAAAUUAAAGUUUUAAAAUAACAAAAGUGGUAUACCUCACGAGAUGUAAAUUGAGCCACUAGUGGUGCAAGCUAUAUUCCAAUCCCAAAUGCCCCCCGGGGCACAGCUCAACUGGUGGAUCAAUCAACAUUGGCUUGCUUCUAGCGGCAGGGUGGAGAGUUCGAUUCCUGGUGGGAACUUGCGGCCAAAAAUUUGGUAUGGAGUAAUCACUGUGAAGGAGGGUCUCUUGUGUGCAGAAGUGUACAGUCAAUGGGAGAACAUGUGAUCCAGUUGAGGCAUAACCCACGAUUUACCCCCUCUAAGGUUUUAGUGGUAUGGAUUUUGGAGGUCCAGGAUUUAUAUUCCAAUCCCAAAUUCUAUUAAUACUGCUAGAUUAUCUCCUGAAAAAAUUGCUUCCUAAUUGCUUUUCUUUUCUUCUUUUUCACAUUCCACCGACUCCUGUUAGUGCCGCUGGGCUGCAAUGUGAAAAUCGGAGCUCGUGACUUAACUACGAGCUACCAAUUUUCUGAAGGUACCUUGGUGUAAGCAUCUAAAUCCCAAAUGGCUGUUGUGGUUUCAAACUAGAAGAAAAAUCCCGCGAGUUAAGAGGAAAUGGUUGUGGUGGGUGUUGAAUGUUGGAUCGUGAUAUUGGGUGAUAAUUGUCUCCAAAAUUCCUCGAAUGUGAAUGAGAAAUCAAUUCAGAACCCAAAAGAAAACCUGGAUGAAGAAUAUCUAGGAUUUGGGGUGUAAUUAGGAUUGAGAGUGGUGGUUGAUGUGUUUGUAACAGCGGGAGGAGCUGGGUUUUGUGGGUUGCUGCCUGCUGGUAUUGGGAGCAAUGGCGGAUAGGUGGGAUAUUGGUGACUUGGUGGUGAUGGCGGAUUCUGAUAGAAACGAUGAGAGAAUGGUGACACGGUGAAGGAAAUAGGUCGUUGACAGAGGAGGGAGCCGGUGGUUGAAGAAGUGGCGGCGAUGCAUGUUUGUGGUGGAAGCGGGCAAGUAGUACGGAAUUAGGCCGUGGUGGCUGCAAACGUUGUGAUAUUUGGCGUGUAGGGGAGACGAUUUGUG
rnacentral:lncRNA from 1 species